rnacentral:lncRNA from 1 species
GUGUGAGUCACCAAUCUACCAGAGCCCUGUCCAGGCAAGUGCCAUCCCAGAAUGUCUGAAGCCCUUUCUCUCCUUCCCAUCUCAACUCGUUCUGUUUUGGGCAUAGACAGGUUCCUAGUAAAAGGUCCUGUGACAUGUGUCUUCUUGGUCUACGACCUCACCCCACACGCUCUACGAAUGAAUGUGCACCUUAUAUAAAUCGGUGAACAUCCUGGAAGUUUUCCACUGGGCGCUUGGGUGUGACUGGUGGCAUUCAGGGACCUGGAAUGGUUUGAGUUGAUUGUUUUAACUCUGGGGCAUUGGACUGGUCUGAGACUGUGUGCUGACGUUGCUAAGAUCUCUACUGCAGUAAAGGGGGGCCAUAUUCACAUAUCAAUAUUCUAUUGUUGUUUUGUUUCAUUUUAUUAUUGGUUAUCAUGGUUGACCUUUUACUGUGCCUAAUUUAUAAAUUAAACUUCACAUAUGUAGGUAUGUAUGCAUGCAUAGGAAAUAGUCAUACAUACAAAGUUGGGUACUAUUGUGGUUCUGGCAUCUACUGGAGGUCUUGGAACAUAGCCUUCCCAGAUAAGGAUAUACUGCCUGGCACAAGCCUGGAGGCAACAGGCUUGAACAGCUGUGCCUGAGACCUGUGAAAACGUGUGCACAGUGGGGGCAGAUGCACUGUGAUCCAGAGGCGAGCGACCUCUUCCCUCAGAUCUGAGGUGACAUCCAGCCUGCCUAUGACUG